CCGUGGCCAAGGCCGAGAGGCUGGAGAGCGACAUCUGUGAGGCGGAGAACGUGUGCCAGAGUGCGGACUACCUGUGUAACUCCACCACACGCACCUGUCAACACCUGUGUUUCUCACACCUGUGUCCACCCAACGCCCAGUGCCUGGUCGAGGCAGACAGCAGUGAACAAACACGACUCGCAGUAUGCAGGUGCAAGUCAGAUUCCAAGUACGUGUACGGAGGGGAAGAUUGCUCCCAAGUGGCGGAGAAACUAGACUUGGACUCUUCCACCAUCAUUGUCCUGGCAGUGUGCCUCAGUCUGGGCCUUGUUCUUAUCGUCGUUCUCAUCGCCGUGCUCAUCUCCUGUCGACGGAAGAUACCAUGUUGCAGAAAGAGCGACGGAGAAAACAUGUCAUUCAGCGAGUUCGAGUCGACGGCUGGGAACGAGUUGUUCGGGCGGUCCGCCUGGUUAGGGGGCGUUUUCGGUUCCCGCCGAGGCAGGAUGGUGCCUGGCACGCCCCCGCUCACCCGCUCACUGAGGAAGAAAGGUUGGUGA